AAACCUUCUUGAGAAUCUAGGGGCCAAGGCUGCUACCAGUCUGCAGGUUUAUUUGGCAACACCACAGGGAUAGUUGAAGACAAACCAAGUUGAGAGAGCUGAUGAAAGCAGAAAAUAGACCUGAAUAUUAAAAAGAAACACCUCUCAUAAGUCCAGAACUUGUGACACUGAAAAGGCAGCUGAUUUUUGCAUACAGAAGUAUUUUCCUGUGUAAGAAUUUACAUGAACCACUGAGGUAGUCAAGAUUAACACAUCCCACAGAACUACAGAAGUAUACUCCACAAACUAUCCACCAGCUGAACAAAG
rnacentral:lncRNA from 1 species